rnacentral:rRNA from 1 species
UACGUAGGGACCGAGCGUUGUCCGGAUUCAUUGGGCGUAAAGAGCUCGUAGGCGGCUAUUCAAGUCGAACGUGAAAUCUCGGAGCUCAACUCCGAAACUGCGUUCGAUACUGGGUAGCUAGAGUCUGGUAGGGGGAUCUGGAAUUCCUGGUGUAGCGGUGGAAUGCGCAGAUAUCAGGAGGAACACCGGUGGCGAAGGCGGGAUCCUGGGCCGAUACUGACGCUGAGGAGCGAAAGCGUGGGGAGCGAACAGG